GGCUUGCGGGCUCCAGGCAGCCCCGCGUUUCCUGUCCAGUGGCUUCACACCUCACCAGCCCGCAGGGGUGACUGUGGGAGUUGGUGGCGCGUGACGGGCGUGUGUGGCCGGGCUCCUCCGGCAGGGAGGUGAUGAGCACACCAGUGACCUGCCUGAGGCGGCGUGAGAAGGUCGGCGUCAUUGUGGACGUGCUGAGCGACACGGCGUCCAAUCACAACGGCUUCCCUGUGGUGGAGCAUGCCGAUGACACCCAGCCUGCCCGGCUCCAGGGCCUGAUCCUGCGCUCCCAGCUCAUCGUUCUCCUAAAGCACAAGGUGUUUGUGGAGCGGUCCAACAUGGGCCUGGUGCAGCGGCGCCUGAGGCUGAAGGACUUCCGCGAUGCCUACCCGCGCUUCCCGCCCAUCCAGUCCAUCCACGUGUCCCAGGACGAGCGGGAGUGCACCAUGGACCUCUCCGAGUUCAUGAACCCCUCCCCUUACACGGUGCCCCAGGAGGCGUCGCUCCCACGGGUGUUCAAGCUGUUCCGGGCCCUGGGCCUGCGGCACCUGGUGGUGGUGGACAACCGCAAUCAGGUUGUCGGGUUGGUGACCAGGAAGGACCUCGCCAGGUACCGCCUGGGAAAGGGAGGCUUGGAGGAGCUCUCGCUG
rnacentral:sRNA from 1 species